GACGAACGCUGGCGGCGUGCUUAACACAUGCAAGUCGAACGGAAAGGCCCUGCUUUUGUGGGGUGCUCGAGUGGCGAACGGGUGAGUAACACGUGAGUAACCUGCCCUUGACUUUGGGAUAACUUCAGGAAACUGGGGCUAAUACCGGAUAGGAGCUCCUGCUGCAUGGUGGGGGUUGGAAAGUUUCGGCGGUUGGGGAUGGACUCGCGGCUUAUCAGCUUGUUGGUGGGGUAGUGGCUUACCAAGGCUUUGACGGGUAGCCGGCCUGAGAGGGUGACCGGCCACAAUUGGACUUGGGUUCCGGCCAAACUCCUUAGGGGGGGAAGAGGUGGGAAUAUUGCACAAUGGGCGGAAGCCUGAUGCAGCAACGCCGCGUGCGGGAUGACGGCCUUCGGGUUGUAAACCGCUUUCGCCUGUGACGAAGCGUGAGUGACGGUAAUGGGUAAAGAAGCACCGGCUAACUACGUG
rnacentral:rRNA from 1 species